AGAGUUUGAUUAUGGCUCAGGAUGAACGCUGGCGGCAGGCUUAAUACAUGCAAGUCGAACGGUAAGGCCGAGUGCAGCAAUGCAUGAGGUACACGAGUGGCGCACGGGUGCGUAACGCGUAUGCAACCUGCCCCGCACCGGGACAAAACAGCUGGAAACGGCUGCUAAUAUCCCAUAGUCACUUGGGAGGGCAUCCUCCUGUGUGUAAAGAUUUAUUGGUACGGGAUGGGCAUGCGUAUUAUUAGGUAGUUGGCGGGGUAACGGCCCACCAAGCCGACGAUGAUUAGGGGUCCUGAGAGGGUUAACCCCCACACUGGAACUGAGACACGGUCCAGACUCCUACGGGAGGCAGCAGUAGGGAAUAUUGGGCAAUGGGAGCAAUCCUGACCCAGCCAUGCCCGCGUGAAGGGAGACGGCCCUAUGGGUUGUAAACUUCUUUUGCCGCAGAGUAAACCCGGGGACGUGUCCCCGGUUGAGAGUAUGCGGCGAAUAAGUAUCGGCUAACUCCGUGCCAGCCGCUGC
rnacentral:rRNA from 1 species